rnacentral:rRNA from 1 species
GGAUUGCCCUAGUAACGGCGAGUGAAGCGGCAACAGCUCAAAUUUGAAAUCUGGCCCCGCGCGGGGCUCGAGUUGUAAUUUGCAGAGGAUGCUUCGGCGCCGGCCCCGGGCCAAGUCCCCUGGAAUGGGGCGUCCUAGAGGGUGAGAGCCCCGUACCCUCCCGGGUAGCCCCCGCCGUGUGAAGCUCCUUCGACGAGUCGAGUUGUUUGGGAAUGCAGCUCCAAGCGGGAGGUAAAUUCCUUCUAAAGCUAAAUACCGGCCAGAGACCGAUAGCGCACAAGUAGAGUGAUCGAAAGAUGAAAAGCACUUUGGAAAGAGAGUCAAAAAGCACGUGAAAUUGUUGAAAGGGAAGCUCUUGCGGCCAGACUUGCCGCGGCCGCGCAGCCGUCCCCCGGGGCGGCGUACCCGACCGCCGGCAGGCCAGCGUCGGUUCGGGCGGCCGGAUAAAGUCCCCGGGAACGUAGCUCCCCUCGGGGAGUGUUAUAGUCCGGGGUGCAAUGCGGCCAGCCCGGUCCGAGGCCCGCGCUCCCAGCGAGGACGCUGGCGUAAUGGCCGUAAGCGACCCGUCUUGAAACACGGACCAAGGAGUCUAACAUCUGUGCGAGUGUUCGGGCGUCAGACCCGCGCGCGCAAUGAAAGUGAACGGAGGUGGGAACCCCCGCGAGGGGCGCACCAUCGACCGAUCCUGAUGUCCUCGGAUGGAUUUGAGUAAGAGCAUAGCUGUUGGGACCCGAAAGAUGGUGAACUAUACCUGGAUAGGGUGAAGCCAGAGGAAACUCUGGUGGAGGCUCGCAGCGGUUCUGACGUGCAAAUCGAUCGUCAAAUCUUGGUAUAGGGGCGAAAGACUAAUCGAACU